GCCAACCACCCAGCUCGACUUCUUGAGCGCAUCACAAGCUAAAGCCGCCCUGCGCUACUAAACUCAAGUCCACAGCCGCCCCCCAGCCGCCCUACGCGUCCGGAGCUGACUUGGCUCUGGGUAGGCGGUAGCCUCGCUUCUAAAGACGGCUGUUCGUUUAAAUUCUGGCGCCACUCCCGCGCCACGUAGAGCCAGUCUCGGAAGCGACGGACAGCGGCGCGGCAGCGGGCGUGCGCCCGGAGCUGGACGUGCGCGCCGCGGAGGGGCGGUGCGCGCACCACACCGUGGAACGAGCCCCCGAAAGAAAAGAGCCGCCUGGCGCGCUCUCGCUCCUCCCGUCAGGAACGCCCCCGGGCUCUCCAGGGUCCAAUAGAGGCGAGAGGGAGGGGCGGCCGCCGGCUGGCUCAGGAGAGACUAUAUAAGGAACUGCAGGCGACGGAGUUCGGUCUUUUACGUCGGAACUUGGAAGCGGAUCACAGCUGCGAGGUUAAUAAAUUGAUUCUCCCGCAGGAACAAUGGAUUUCGGUGUAGCGGAACUGUUACAUGGAGGUGCUAAGAUGCAAAGGUACAUUUCCAAACAUGCCGGACAAUAUUGGCUGGAAAAUGACUUGGUUAAAAUCUGAUGAUCUUACCAGCAUUCUGCAGGUUGAUGAAUACUAAUGAAGCUGUGGGUGUCACUGAGCAGCUUCAUUUUAAAUGAGGGGUUGCUGUCUGCCUGUUGAAAGAAGUCGGUGUGCUGUGACAUUUGGAAGGUGGGAGCAUUUCUGGCUAGUGCUGCGAGAUUUACUUGUCUUAUGAAAAUCUGGUGAUUGGGAAAACCUCCAAUGGAUGUGGGAAGAAAGUUCAAGAUGAAUUAUAUGUUUACAUUGGUUUGUAAAUAGAUUAUAAACCAGCAUCGAGUCUAAAUAAUGCAUCCAUAAGAGUCAAGGCAUUUCUGUUGACCAUGACACUGCUGUAGAAUCAUAACCUGUUAAUCAGUGUAUUACUUUCUAUCUUGAAUGGAAAACUCUCUUCUAGUUAAUCUAGCCUUGUAAUUAAAUAAUUUUGAAUAGCCUCUGGUUCCCUGUCUGUCUGAAUGGAGUUUAAAACUGUGAUUGUAAUUACACCAAGUUAAAGUGUGUACUCUUGUGGUGGAAUCUUUAGUCAGGUUUCUAGGGAGAGAUGAUUUGGUUUGGCAAGAAUAAGUACUGUGGAAAACAUUAGCUUCAAUCAGGGUUGGGGUGAGAGCAAAGUGGGAGAGAUGGGACCUGGUAACAGUGAGGGAAGGUCGCUGAUAAAAUCUGGGUUAAAACUGGUCAAGCAUUCUAUGGAAUGGGUUAGUGUAAACAAUAGUAGCGUCUAACCUAACCAAGGUGGUUGGGCCCUGAUGCUGCUAAGUCACUUCAGUAGUGUCCGACUCUGUGACCCCAUGGACAGCAGCCCACCAGGCUCCUCUGUCCACGGGAUUCUCUAGGCAAGAAUACUGGAGUGGGUUGCCAUUUCCUUCUCUGGUUGGGCCCUGACCCUAAUCAUUUUCCCUAAAUAGGUGCAUGAAUAACCUGUUCCCAUAUUUAAUUGUUAAAGUCAGUGCCAAUAUUAUCAUCUGAAUGAACUCUUGGAAAUGUUAGUUUGCCUGCUGAAGUGAAGAGAUGACUUGGGGCCUGUGUACCUCAGAUUCAUGAGACUGAGCCUAUAGUUGAGUGCCCAGACACAUUUCUUCUGGUAGCAGACAACCUCCAUGUAUAGCCUUGUGUUAGUCUGUUUAUUAUGUCCAUAUGGAAAUAAGACUUUUGCACUGCAGUCAGCACCCCGAUCUGCUUUAUUUGGGACUUAAGUGUGGUUUAUAAAAUCUGAGCACUAGCAUCCCUGUAUCUUAAGUAUCUAGACACUAGGCACUUGGUUGUCAAUAAAUGUUAAAUGCUUAACAAUGAAUGCUUGACCCAUUGAGGGGGACCUCCCUGAUUGUCCAGUGGUUAAGACUGCUUCCAGUGUAGGGGCUGCUGGUAGGGUUGGUGAACCCACAUACAGAGUGGCACAGCCAAAAACCUAAAACAUUCAGGGAGAACUGUCCUUCAUGGGGUCACAAAGAGUCAGACACUGCUUAGCAACAAAAUUAAUAACAGGAACCUUAUGCUGUAUGUGACAGACUUUAGCCAGUAAGAAUUUUCUCAGCUCUACACCAUGUUUCCAGGUUAUCUUAAAAUACAGUAGAUUCAAUUCUACUGUUUGGUAUUUUUUAGUGAAGUGAAGGUUGCUCAGUCUUGUCCAACUCUUUGCAACCCCUCUCCAGGUCAGAAUACAUUCCCUUCUCCAGGGGAUCGUCCCAACCCAGAGGUCUUACCCGUGUCUCCUGCAUUGCAAGCAGAUUCUUUAACUGAAGUGAGCCACCAGGGCAGCCCAAACUAGUUAUAUUGCCAGAAACCCAAUAUCCAUUGCACUUGGCUUCCUUAUCAAGUGCCCUCUGAACUGCUUAUACAGUUCUUAAUCACUGUUUGGCCAGCCUCUGAGAACUUUUGGAUGUUUUUAAGCCAGUUUCCCCAUUAAAUUUAGAGCCUUUAAAUGCCAACCUAUGUACAGAUAACCAGGCUUUUCUGGUGGCUCAGAGGAUAAAGUGUCUGCCUGCAAUGCCAGAGACCUGGGUUCAAUCCCUGGAUCGGAAAGAUCCCCUGGAGAAGGAAAUGGCAACCCACUCCAGUAUUGCCUAGAGAACCCCACAGACAGGAGCCUGGUAGGCUAGAGUCCACGGGGUCACAAAGAGUCGAACACGACUAAAUGACUUCACUUUGCUUUUUCCUUUCCUGUGUACAGAUAAGUCAAAAUACAAGCAUGCUACAGUUUUUGUGGAUCAUCUUGAGGUGGAGGAAGGGUACCUUUCCAAUAUGAAAACCAGACCUGGUCUCAUCCUCUGACUACUAGUCAAUCUGAGGUCCUGAUAUGCUAUGCAGCUGACUUACAACAAGAUAAAGAUUUAAUCUCACAGAAUCCCACACUGAGUACAGUAUAAUACAUCCAUCCUAUUUGGAAACUUUACCUUAGUUAUGCUUAGUUGACUCAGUUCUCUUCAAAAGAGUUAACAAUGGGAAGACCAUUUCAGAAUACUCAGAAUUCACCAUUUGAAGAAAAUGUUUGCAAACAGUGAUUACUGAGGUCAGAAAACUUGACCCUUGCCUCCUAAGUAUUGAAUAUAAUUAUAUAUGUCAAUAAAUGGUUCAUUUUAAAAGUGUACAGUUUGAUGAGUCUCUAAAUAUGCACCCAUGAAACCAUUACUGCAGUCAAGAUAAUAAAGUCCAUCUCCCCAAAAGUGCAUUUUUACAGAGGCUUGAUUUUGAACAUACUAAGUUGGAGAUGAAAUGUGAUACCCAAAUGAGAUUUUGCAUGAGAUAUGAAAGUUCAGAGGAGAGAUCUAAGCUGGAGAAAUAAAUUUGGGAGUUAACAGCAUGUGAAUGGCCAUAAAGUGAGAUCACCGAGGGAGUGAAUACAAGAGAAGUGAUCCAAGGGUUGAGUCCCAGGACAUUCCAGAAGUAAGACAUGGCAAGUUUAGUUCAAAUCAUAGAAAUUAUUCUGUACCAGCAAACAAAAACUGGGAAGCAGAAAUCUGUUUUCAAGUUCAACUACCAUAUCUGAAACAAACUAGAUGGAAAGUCGAGUUCAGCAAGCAAGGGUGUGAACUAAGCAAUAAUUGCUUGGGGUAAUGGGGCUGGAGGUUGCCUUGUAUUUAAUACAGAGCACUGGUCAAUGUGAAAAUUGAGGGAGUUAAUAUAUAUGGACAACUCUGCAAAGUAUUAGGCAAAGUGGUCUUCAGGAAAGAAUGAGAUGAGUUUAUAAAGUGUGAUAGUUGUCAUCAGAUACUGUGGACUGAUGAGAAAAAUGGAGUUGACCACACACAAGUUAGAGAUUUGCCUUUUGGUGCUAAAGUGCCCAGUGAGGCUAAAAAUUGCCAAGUGUGAUAGUUAAUCAGCAUAAUUCUUACCUGUUGUCCUAUGGGGUUUAUCCACAUGGGAGCAGAAAGCAGAUCAGUGGAUUAAACCAAAAUUAGGGAUAAACUGGCCAGAAGGAGCAGAACCAUGGUGGGCCAAUUCAGAAUGUAGGUGAAAGUGGUGUUAAAAUUCACCUUGAAAUCCAGGCUGAUGAGGAAAAGAAAUUAGUGCUGGAAAACUGUCCCAGAAAAUGAUGAAGAACAGUUGUACCACAGAGAGAUUAUGAAAAUGAGGUAAAAUAAGACCCUUUCCAGUUACAGUACAAAAUGACCCACAGCAUGUUGUGUUUCUAAUUAGUGGUUUAUUUCUCUCUGGUCCUAGAGUGAGUUCUUUUCAAGCAGAAACUGCCCUUUCACCUCUUAGACCCUAUGCCUGCUGCUGCUAAGUCACUUCAGCUGUGUCCGACUCUGUGACCCCAUAGACAGCAGCCCACCAGGCUCCACUGUCCCUGGGAUUCUCCAGGCAAGAACACUGGUGUGGGUUGCCAUUUCCUUCUCCAAUGCAUGAAAGUGAAGUCGCUCAGUAAAUGUCCGACUCCAUGACUCCAUGGACUGCAGCCUACCAGGCUCCUCCGGCCAUGGGAUUUUCCAGGGAAGAGUACUGGAGUGGCAUGCCAUUGCCUUCUCUGACACUCUGUGCCUAGUACAAUGUAAAGACUUCCAUUACAAAUUUGUCUAAUUAUAUGGAAUUCAGUAUGUACAUUUAAGGUGGGCAAUGAUGAUAUGAUCUAAAUUCUCCAAAAGAGAUAAAAGAAAUGAGAAAAGUUGGAAACUGAUGGAUUCAGUAUGUGUGCCCUCCCAAAAUUCUUAUGUAGAAGCCCUAACUCUGAUGUGGCAAUAUUUGGUGAUGGAGCCUCAGGGGAUGUAGUUAAGGUUAAAUGAUGUCAUAAAGGUAGGGCCCUGGUUGGAUAGGAUGAGUGUCCUUAUAAGAAGAAACAGCAGGGAACUCACUCUCCCUCUUCAUAUGUGGGGACACAGUGUGAUGAUGGCUGUCUACAAGUCCAGACAAGAGGACUCAGAAUGAAACCUACCUUGCUGGCAGUUUGAUCUUGGACUUUCCAGCCUCCAGAGCUAUGAGAAAAUUAAUUUGUAUUGCUUCAACCAUCCAGUCUGGUAUUUUGUUACGGCAGCUCUUACAGACUGAGACAGAAGCAAUGGAUAAAUGGCCACUGUUAUAAUUUGAGGGCUUUAUAUUUGGCAAGAGAUUAAUGAGUAAUAACUAUUAAGUCCACACAGUGUAAUCUCUCUGGUUUUAUACAUUUUCCCUUUAGGUUUUUAUUUAUUACAUUGAAACUGGGUCAUACUCUUUUUUUUUGCAGUGUGUUUUAUUAUUGACUAAUAAACAACUGACACAAAGCUUUCCACCUGUUUCAACACCAAUAGAUAAAUUUUCAAUUAAAUCUCAGUAAAAGAAAUUAGAGAUUGAAAUUAAACUAUUUUAGAAGGUGAAUGUUGUCUUCAAUCUGUGCUUCGCAAGCAAAACUUUUUAACAUAAAUUAUUUCUUUUAAAAUUAACUCAUAUAACAAAAAAUGAUUUAGG
ensembl:lncRNA